rnacentral:rRNA from 1 species
CCUACGGGGGGCAGCAGUGAGGAAUAUUGGUCAAUGGGCGGGAGCCUGAACCAGCCAAGCCGCGUGAAGGAAGAAGGCGCCAGGCGUCGUAAACUUCUUUUGUCGGGGAACAAAGGGCGCCACGCGUGGCGUUGUGAGUGUACCCGAAGAAAAAGCAUCGGCUAACUCCGUGCCAGCAGCCGCGGUAAUACGGAGGAUGCGAGCGUUAUCCGGAUUUAUUGGGGUUAAAGGGUGCGUAGGCGGUCCGGAAAGUCAGCGGUAAAAGCCCGGGGCUCAACCCCGGCGAGCCGUUGAAACUGUCGGACUAGAGACGGCGAGAAGUACGCGGAAUGCGCGGUGUAGCGGUGAAAUGCAUAGAUAUCACGAAGAACUCCGAUUGCGAAGGCAGUUCACUGGACUGCAACUGACACUGAGGCUCGAAAGUGUGGGUAUCAAACAGGAUUAGAUACCCGGGUAGUC